CGGAGGAUCCAAGCGUUAUCCGGAUUCAUUGGGUUUAAAGGGUGCGUAGGCGGAUUUGUAAGUCAGUGGUGAAAUCUCUCAGCUUAACUGAGAAACUGCCAUUGAUACUGCAAGUCUUGAGUACAUUUGAUGUGGGCGGAAUGUGUCAUGUAGCGGUGAAAUGCUUAGAUAUGACACAGAACACCGAUUGCGAAGGCAGCUCACAAAACUGUAACUGACGCUGAGGCACGACAGCGUGGGGAUCAAACAGGAUUAGAUACCCUGGUAGUCCACGCCGUAAACUAUGAUCACUCGAUGUUGGCGAUACACAGCCAGCGUCUAAGCUAAAGCAUUAAGUGAUCCACCUGGGGAGUACGGUCGCAAGAUUG
rnacentral:rRNA from 1 species